rnacentral:lncRNA from 1 species
CACCGAAGUAGAUGAACAUGCUAGAACCGGUCUGAUGGUGAUCCGAUCUCGAACCCCUACCAUCGAAGAUAGUAAGGCUACUCUCAUCGGAGAGCUUCUCAUAGUUCCACCUCUAGAAAAUAAUAUUAAUUUAAAUAAUAUUAUUAAUAAAAUUAUUAAUAAUAUUAUUUAAAUUAAUAAUAUUAUUAAUUUAGAUAUUAUUAUUAAUA